ACCCGUUGAUCCUGCGGGAGGGCACUGCUAUGAGGAUUCGACUUAACCAUGCAAGUCUAGGGGGCUAACUUCCUUCGGGAAGUCAGUCACCGGCAAAAUGCUCAGUAACACGUUGACAACCUACCCUUAAGUUUGGGACAACCUUGGGAAACUGAGGCUAAACCCGGAUAGGAGAAUUGUAUUUGAAGAUUAAUUCUCUCAAAGGUAACGCUUAAGGAUGGGUCAGCGGCUGAUUAGGCUGUUGGCGGGGUAAUGGCCCACCAAACCUAAGAUCAGUAGGGGUCUUGAGAGAGAUAGCCCCGAGAAGGACACUGAGAUAAGGGUCCUAGCCCCACGGGGUGCAGCAGGUGCGGAGCCUCUACAAUGCACGAAAGUGUGAUAGGGGAAUCCUCAGUGCUUAUACAAUGUAUAAGCUUUUCUUGAGAGCAAAUAUCUCGAGGAAUAAGUGGUGGGAAAGACUGGUGCCAGCCGCCGCGGUAACACCAGCGCCACAAGUGGUGUCCACGUUUAUUGGGCCUAAAGCGUCCGUAGCUGGUCAAGUGUGUCCUACGUGAAAUCGUUAGGCCUAACCUAACGGCGUGCGAAGGAAACUGCUAGACUAGGAACCGGGAGGAGUCAGAAGUAUUUCUGGGGGAGCGGUAAAAUGUGAUAAUCCCAGAAGGACUACCUGUAGCGAAGGCGUCUGACUAGAACGGAUUCGACAGUGAGGGACGAAAGCCAGGGUAGCAAAACGGAUUAGAUACCCGAGUAGUCCUGGCCGUAAACGCUGUGAGCUAGGCGUUGCAUGUUCCACGUGAACAUGCAGUGUCGUAACGAAGGUGUUAAGCUCACCGCCUGGGAAGUACGGUCGCAAGACUGAAACUUAAAGGAAUUGGCGGGGCGCACUACAACGAGUGCGGCGUGCGGUUUAAUCUAAAACCACGCAGAGAACCUUACCAGGGGCGACGGCAGAAUGAAAGUCAGGCUAACGGUCUUACUUAACAAGCCGAGAGGUAUUGCAUGCCCGCCGUCAGCUCGUGCCGCAAGGUGUCACGUUAAGUCGUGCAACGAGCAAGACCUGUAUCUACAAUUGCCAGCAGGUUCAUUAGAAUGACUGGGCCCAUUGUAGAGACUGCCUUGGAAACAAGGAGGAAGGUGCAGGCAACGGCAGGUCCGCAUGGUCCGAAUCUCCUGGGCUACACACGCGCAACAAUGACUGGGACAAUGGGACACAACUCCGAGAGGAGAAGUUAAUCCUCCAAACCCAGCCUUAGUUUAGAUCGAGCCUUGAAACUCAGGCUCGUGACAUCGGAAUUCGUAGUAAUCGGAUCUUAUCACAGUCCGGUGAAUAUGUCCCUGCGCCUUGCACACACCGCCCGUCAAGCCAUCCGAGCAGGGUUUGGGUGAGACUCAGCUGUAAUGGUUGUUCCGAACCCAAGCUCAGUGAAGCAGGCUAAGUCGUCACAAGGUA
rnacentral:rRNA from 1 species